AAAAUUUAUUUGUAUUGUUAUUUAUAAUUAUAAAUAAAGCAAAAACGCUUUAAAUAGUGAAAACAACAAAAAAAUAUUUUUGUAUUAUUUACAAAAUUUGUUUAUAAAAAUUUUUCAUUCAAAUUUUUUCAAUCACCACCUCCACCACUGCCACCUUCACCUCCACCUCCUCCACCACCACCUCUUCCACCGCCAUCACCUCCUCCACCUCCACCACUGCCACCACCACCAGUCACUUCCACUUUUUUUAAAAAAUAGUUUAAAAAACGGUGAAAACAAAUAUAUUUUUAUUUUUAAAUAGUUUAAAAAAAAGUAAACACAAACAUAUUUUUAGUUUAUAUUUUAUAAAAAGUUAAACAAAACUAAAUAAAAAUUAAAAAACACCAAAAACAAAAAAAUAAAAACAUUGCCAAACAUUUCCUAAACAAAUCUAACUCAAACACAUUCUUAAAAUUCUUUCAAACCAAAGUUUAAGUAACUCACUGCUCGGCUCAAUUUACUUAACUUGUUUAAGUAAUUUUUUUCUUCAUGACAAUUUGAAAGUAUAGUUAACGACUGUAUACUAACACGACACCAAUGAUAACGUAAUAAAUAGAAUAAUGUUAAGACGGGCUCGAGUCCGUGGUAUUACUACGAGCUUGCCUACGUGGCGCGCCCAUAUUCACCCAUUUGAGUGUGGAUCCCACUAUUUUUAUUUUUUAUUUUUUAUUUUUUUAAGUGAGGCCCACCCCCAAAUGGAUGAAUGUAAACGCGCCACGUAGGCGAUUCCGUAGUAAUACGAGCUCGAGCCCAUCUUAACAUUUCCCUUAUAAAUAAUAAAACAAAGCUGAUGAGGACUCGAUGACAAGCGUCCAAAACUUGACGCGGUUGAUAAAAGAUUCCUGGUUAAUUGAUUAAAUCAUAGUUUGACACCUCAUAUAAGCCACGAAAGAUAUUUGCUUUUUUGAGAGGAGAAAGAUCUGGAGUUUCAAGUUUUGCACCAAUUUUUUUAGUUUUUUUUUAAAUAAAUAAAAAAAUUAUCAGAGUUGAUUUUUUUAUUUUUAUUUUUAUUUUUUUACUUAAUUUUAGUUUAAGUAAAAUUAUAAAAACAAAAAAAUUAAAAAAUUUUAACCUUUUUGAUAACAAAUUUAAAAAAAACUUAAUUUUUAAAUAAAACGGAGCCUCGGUUUAAAUCUCUCCGGAACUAGUCAUCUGAUUAUUUGUACAAAAGAUGUUAAGACAAAAUUUUUAAGUCUCGACAAAUUAUACUCAAUGUCUGAAGUGUGAAUUUAAAUUCUGUCAAUGUACAACUCCGUUAACGGAUUUGAAACCUACCAAUAAAAGUCCGUCAAUGGUAUAGCUCUAAGUGGUUAGGUUUUUUUUUUUUGCCAUAUAAAUAAAAUAAUCAAAACAAAAAAUAAUGUGAUGGUCCUACAUGCGUGGACGGUGGACAAUAUUGGUGCUGCGAUAUGAGCAAUGACGUACCAACAUUGACGUCACAUCUCCUGUGGUGGUUGUGAAUCAUCUGAUUUUUUCACGUGCACGUUAGAGCUGGAAAUGGGCCAGUGGCUCGCUGGAAACAGCCGAGUAAAAAAUAGAAAAGAAAUUGUAAGAUUUUCUUAAUUUGAAUAGAAUAUUUAGUUGUUUGUGAAUCGACUACUAUUUUGAUAGGUCAUUCUCAUUAAAAAUGCUAUGCUAACUUCAUAUUUUAACCAUUUUAAUUGAUUUAGAGGUAUUAAAUGAGAGAGUUGGCACGAACACGACACGUUAAAACGCCAUCACGAUACGAUUAUAAUGAACAGGACAGAACACGGACACAAUGAUAAAUUAUGUCAGGCCACUGUUUUUGAAGCACGGACAUAAUACGUUUAUGUGAACUAAUUUAAAUAAUUUUAAAUUUUUAACGCAUUAAAUUCAUUUAUAAAAAAAAUCACAGUACAACACGAUGGGCCAUGCCGGGUAUAGAUUUUUAUCAAAUGAUCAUGGCACAAAAUGGCACAACACGGAGCACAAUAAACACGAAAAUAAAUGGAUUGGGCCAACAAGGCACGACCAAUUUACAAAGUUGAUUGAUUUAUCCUUUAAUGCGACAUAAUUAUAAAUUCAUAAUCAUUCGAUAAAACUAAAUCAUUUAUUAAUAUUAUUAUAUCAAUAUUUAUGAAUACGCCUGCCUUAUCAGAUAGUAAAUAAAAUUUUUUCAUAGCAAUAAGCAUAACAUUAGUUUUGAAAUGUGAAGGGAUAGGGCGAGUUUCUGCCUUUGGUCAAAAAGGGUGGCCAAUGGCACCGCCCAAGUAGGCACCGAAUGACAAAGCUGAUUCGCUUUCUGAUCUAAACAAAAUAUAAAUUACUCUAAAUUAUGUCGUUUGGUUGGGAGAUAAGUAAAAUAACUAAUAGAAUAUCUUUUAAAUAAGGUAUAGUGUGUGAUAGCUAAUUUAGUUAUUCUAGUUUGAGUAUUUUCUUACAUUUAUUAAAUUUUUAUUUAUCGUUUAAUCAAAAAUUUAUAAUUUAUAAUUUUUUUAUU
rnacentral:lncRNA from 1 species